rnacentral:lncRNA from 1 species
GUUCAGAUGAUAUUUUUCAGAGUGCUGAUGUUACUUUGGACAGUGGUUUGGCUUGAUCUGUUUUGUUCCCACUCAUACAUCAUCUCCAAGGUAGAAACUACAAGCAAAGUGUCUGACAUGGUCCAGCUCCACAUCAAAGCGUCUAACUGAUGGGCUGCGAGGAAAGCAGAGCCCGUCCUGGUUAUAGUUUCCAAAAACAUUCCUGGGCUCAGAAGUGCUGACGAGCCACGUUGUGUGCACCAUCAAACUCUAAUCCUUGUCUUUUCCUUCAUAUGUGGGCACCUUGAGAAAUCAAGGUGUAUACAUGUCCUGCCUACUGGCAAGGCGACUUCCGGGCACAGCCCCACAGUGGAACUUGCUUAUUCUGGGACAUUUAGCCUGUCAGCUGCAGUCUUCCCACAGGGCUCCUGCAGCCUUCUUCUCUGUUCUCUGCUCACAUGCAAGGUUUGCCUUUAAACCCACAGAUAUGAAUACUUACUAGAGUGGGGGUUCCUCCAUAUCCUCACCUCCAUAUGUCAACAUACAGGGUUUAAAGCAGUGCACAUUUGAGCCACCUGCUGGGAGGUAGACAACCACGGUUUUGUAAGCAUUGAUUGCCUUCUCUCUCUCUCUCUCUCUCUCUCUCUCUCUCUCUCUCUCUCUCUCUCUCUCCUCUCUGACAGGGUCUCACUCUGUUGCCCAUUAUUAAUAGGAGAGCAGUAGUGUGAUCAUGGCUCAGGCAGCCUCGAACUCCCAGACUCGAGAUCCUCCUGCCUCAGCCUCUUUAGUAGCUAAAACUACACUGCAUUUGGCUGAUUUUUCCUUUUUUUUUUUUUUUUUUGUAGAAACAGGGUCUUGCUGUGUUGCCCAGGCUGGUAUUGAACUCCUGGCCUUAAGCAAUCCUCCCGCCUCAGCCUCCCAAAGUGCUGGGAUUACAGGUGUGAGCUGCUGUGCCUGGCCUGAUUGGUUGUUUAAUGUGCAAUCCUCUGGGGGUCUUGUUAAAAAUGCAGAUUCUGAUGCAGCAUGUCUGAGAUGUGGCUCCCAUGGGGAGCUCCAAGGUCCAGCCCUCCUUGGACCGCCCUUUGAGUAGUGAGGCUCCAGGAGAUCCCACAAGCUUCCAGAUUUGACAAUUCUGAGCUUCCUCAACUCCAGAGCCAAACCCCUAACCGAAAGUGGGAUCAGAGGCCAGGCAUGGUGGCUCAUGCCUGUAAUUCCAGCACUUUGGGAGGCCGAGGUGGGAAGAUCACCUAAGGUCAGGAGUUCGAGACCAGCCUGGCCAACAUAGUGAAGCCCUG